UACGUAGGGGGCAAGCGUUGUCCGGAUUUAUUGGGCGUAAAGAGCGUGUAGGCGGCCAGGUAGGUCUGCUGUGAAAACUCGAGGCUCAACCUCGAGACGUCGGCGGAAACCAUCUGGCUAGAGUUCGGAAGAGGGUCGUGGAAUUCCCAGUGUAGAGGUGAAAUUCGUAGAUAUUGGGAAGAACACCGGUGGCGAAGGCGGCGACCUGGUCCGAUACUGACGCUGAGGCGCGAAAGCGUGGGGAGCAAACAGG
rnacentral:rRNA from 1 species